rnacentral:lncRNA from 10 species
AAGCAAUUCUUUGAUUGAUGGCUCCAACAUGGAUUAAGGUCAAAAGUGGCCCUGGAGACCAAAUUCCCUAGUGAGGAACUGCCACAUAACUUCAUGUGUCUUUUGCUUCUGAAUUAUUUCUUCUAGAAACCACCAACCACAAGCUGUCACGCUGGUAUUAUAUCUACAUAACGUUUAUUCUUCUUACAGCAAAGAGCUGGAGAAAUACAAGUGAGAACCUGUUAUUACAGGUUAAAUUGUGUAACACUCAACUUGCGCUGAGGUCCAGUUUCUUUUUAUUAUGCUCCAAUUUUGUUGAAUGACUAUUGCCUAAAAUAAAUGGGCAAUCGACAGGGGCUUAGAACUAACAGGGAUGCUUAAGUGACUUUUAUGGUAGCAGUAUUUGUUGUAACAGAAUUUGAUCUGUAUUCUAGUUAUUAGUUUUAUUCAUCACAUUGGAAAGUUGGCACCUCCACUGUUCAUGCCAUUAUAUGCAAAGCACUGUAGCAUGAAAGUCACUUACAAAGCUGUGAAAAAAACUCUCUGAACACCAGAGGCUCAUGAAACAAUAAAAGUCAGCUAGGGGGAUAUACACUGUUUGAUUUAGCUAAAUAUUCUGGAUGGUCAAAGGUUUAUUCCUUUUAAUUCCUAAAAGUUUUUUUUUUUAACCAUUGGGAUGUAAAUAUUUCUAAAAUGUUUGAUAUACAUAUUUUUGUCUUCUAAGCAUAGUUUUUUUAUGUAUGGUGCACAGGGUCAUCAUUUUAAAUAGAAUAUUGUCCCAUGAUACAGUGAGGCUCUUAAAGAUUGAGAUGUGUAUAGACUGUUUUUGACACUAAAUAACCCAUAUAUCAGGGCUUUGGAGCUUUGCAGUCUACUCAAAAUUUCCAUUUUCUCUAUUGCUGUCCUCCUUUUUCCUUCUUGUUUCCUCUAAAAGUCUGUUUCUUUCCUUUACAGUUAGAAAUAUGUGUGAAGGAAGAGCAAAUAGGUUCUGAGGAGGUGCCUGAUGACUAGAUGUAUGGCCUUUGUCUUAUGCGUUUGCUUCAUGGUAUUUAUUUCAAUUGGUUGGAAGCCUUGUUUGCUUACUUCUUAAUUCUCAGUCACUUUUGAUGGGUUCAGCAGAGGUUCUAGAUUUUUCUAGUUCUGUCUCAGUUACUCAUUGUCAAACCACUGGUUUAGAUUUUGUGUUCAGGAAAUAGGGAUAGGUAAAGCUAUCAGGUGGCUAAGCCCUAGGUAAAUGAGUUGCCAUGAAUCCUAAAAUAUUGUGAAGGUUGUGGGCCAUUUUUAUAAGGCAAAUGGUAUGCUGUGGCCGUGACAGCUGAACUCAGUAAGUGAACUUUAAAACAGAUAAGCUCCUUUUGCUGUUGUCCCUUUCCAAGAAUAUGAAGCUGGCCUGACGUCAAGAUUCUAACGCUAUAGCAAAAGAAGACAUGGUUUUGCCUCUCGUUGAUUUUCUUAUUUAUGGCCUUGGAAUAAAGAAGAUAAAGCAAGUCUAACAGUUCUCCCUUCCAAAAGUACAGUUUCAGGCCAGAAGAUUUGACUGCUACCCUUAGACUUUCUUUCCCUCACUGUACAUUGCAUUUUACAGGCUAUACAAAGCAAGACCUUCUUUGCAAAAGGCAAACUCCUUUGCCCCAAGGCCAUACUGUACAUGUGUGGGGGUAGUUGUAGGGGGAUCAGUGUUGUUAUUCACCAAUACAAGAUGGAAUCAGUGCAGCUAGGAGAGAAGAGAUUAAGGAAAGAGGCUGUGAAGUCUGCUAGACCUGGGUUUAAAUUCUGGCUUCCCGCUUAUUAGGGUGUAACCGUGGUCACAGUACUUAAUUCUCUAAAUUUGAUUCCUGAGCAACAAAGUGGGGAAUGAUAGUAUUGGUGCUGUUACUAUUAUGAUAAUGUGAAAAACAACAGGAGAGUACCUGGCCCAGAGAAAGAGCUAAGUGACAGCUCUUAUUAACAUAAAUGAAUGAUUUAAACCUGGAGAUUACAAUAGUUAACAAGCACAGACACUUAGUGCAGUCUGUUACUGACUUCAAGCAGUCUUUUGCUUUUGUUUCUAUUUCUGUGACAUCUUCUCUUAUUACGACUUUCUGUUGGGUGUCUCUAACUCUGGUGCCUUGUGAAGGCCAGGAGAUAUUCCAGACAAGCUGAAAUUCUACCUUUUUAUGAGUAUAAAGGAAAUGGGGCCAUGUUGGACCAAACAAAGAGUAAUAAAAUAAAAUAUAGAGUUGUAGCUUUCAGAGGGAAAGAUAAAACAAGAAAGGGCUGGGGCAAUGGAUGUGGUGUUGAGAUACUGGCACCAGGAAGCAGGGAAGAAAACCUCCAAACACAUUGUGGUUUGUUAAAACACUGAAGACUCCUAAGUGCUACAGUGGCAGGCAGUGCCACCCCACCAGGCAGCAGUGUCCUCCGCAACUGGGGAAGAGGAAGUAGGGCCUAAUGAUUGCUCUCGGAGACAGAGAGUCUGCUGUCCUGGGCUUUACCAGCCUGGCUUGUUGGGUGACCUUGAGUGACUUAUCUCCCUCUCUUGGACAAUUUUCUCAAGGUUCUCACACAGUCCCUAGCUAACUAAAAGGGUCUGAUGAAGAUAAAUGUGUUAAAAGAAAAUUUAGAGGAGAGUCCACAAACUGUCCCUCCAGAUACACCUGCUGGUGGGUUUUAGGAUUUUUAAACAUUAAAUUUUAAUGCAUUUAGGCAGGGCUUGGUAUUUUCUAAUUCACACAGUAUCUACCAUCUUGAGUCUUCACAUUUGGCUCCUGAAGGCCUCUGAGUAUAUGACUUCUGAUUUCAAUGCAACCUCUGGUCCUUCAAACCAGCUUGGAAUUGCUUCAUUUACAACUCAUUCUAUGUUUUCAUCAAUUACAUGCAAAUAUGUAUUUCUAAAGUUUCACAAAACAAAGAUUUUGUUGGCCUAACUGUAAUUUGCUCUAAAAGACAUUUUUUUUUCUAGAAAAUAUGGCAAAAAUUACAAUUUUACCUUCCUUCUAGUUCAUCCAAAUUCUAAAACUUUAAUGUUAUUUGAAAACAUAAUUUGGCACCAAGUAUUCUUUAGGUUAUAAUCUAAGUUGCUCAUAAAAUGUAAUCUAGGCCUGGAUCAUUUUACUUUGAGGAGAAAACUUAUCACUAAAUAAUAAUGAUCUUAAGUCUGUUCUUUUGCCACUUCCCAGAGCUCUCUCCUAAGGCACUGUGGAAAAGUCAGGAGUAAAUUAGACUCCCACAUCUAGUAACCAAAACACCAUCAUCUCCAGCAUUACCACAGUCAAGUAUGCAGCUCGUCAUAAAUAUUUACACCUUGCAGGGUCCUUUGUGCACAACUCUGAGAGACAAAUGGCAUUUCCAGUAAUAGUUUAUUGAUUUCCAAAUGCACAGGGGCACCAAGUCCGAACAUCCUGGGAUAGCAGUAAAUCUCUCUUACAAAAUAAUUUACAGUAUGAAAAUGAUAUACUGAAACAUUAACCCAAACGUGUAAUUCCCUUGAAAGAUUCAGUGUUCCCUUGUUUAAUGUAAAGGGUGGAAGGGGAAGAUUCCUAAGGAGGGAAUGUGACUGUGCACAGGAAAAUAGGCAGAGGACAAUGGAUUCAUUGGUUCUCCCCAUUCAUGCAGUGUGGCCUGUCACUGUAGAAAGACUGGUCAGGUUUAACCCUCAUUAAGUAUUAAUCUGCUGUCCCCUCAAAGUCAUAUCAAGCCCAGUAUGGGCUCCGUGGCUUUUUUUGCACCAAUGUAUCCAUAAGUGUCUCCACUUAUUUUCAUUUUUCUGCUCUGGCCCUCGUUCUGCUGUUUCUGGUAUGUUCUCAGUUCCAAAUUAUACUAUAAAAAUCUGAUGUGAUCAGCACACAGUAAACGUGCAGUUAAUUUUCUUAUUGAGAAGCAUGUAUUGCACAGCCAUUAUAUGAAUGUGGAAUUUCAGGAAUGGCAAGAGAAUAUUUUCUACUUGGGGAGAGAGGACUUCCUAGACCCUGCCACAACUACAAGGUCAUCAGUGCCUUAGGAGCUAAUGACCUUUGCUAGGGAAUUGCUCUUCCUGUAAGCAAGUACCUAAGCCCCAACUAUAUGGUGACACUUGUAAUUAGGGCUGACAGAAAUCUUUGAAGUAGUACGCAAGAUAAUGAAGGGGCUGCUUUGAGUUUUCCUUAGCUCUCAAAUAUUGUGUGUGUGUGUGCGGACAUGUAUGUAUGUAUUUUCAAAUAAAGUUGAGUAGAGAGCAGAACACCCUUCACUUUUACUACUGCUGCAAAGUUCUAUAUCUUUGAAGGCCAAGAAACACCUUAUUUAUGGAAGAUGGCAUGAAAAAGGAAAUGUUCUCCUAACUCCUGGGGGUGGACCAUGGUGUGUGGUACAAAGUGCCUGUCCACAGAAUUAGGGGGAGCUGCGUUCAAGAUUUGGCUUGAGUAUUUCCUAGCUGUAUAACUUGAAGCAAAUGACUCUUCCACUCCCCAUCUGUUUUAUUAUCUAAGAGACAGCUCAGGGCCUGGCUCAUAGUUGUUCCUUAAUACAAGUUAUUUCCCUUCUUGGGCUGUCAGAGCCGAGACUCCAAGCACUUCUUGGGACUGUCCUGGAUUUAAUGAUAUCAAAUCAAAGUCCCUCUCAGCAUCCAGAAAUUCAACAUUUGAAAGAUAGCCAGAAAUUGCUAUGAGUAUCCGACUGAUUCUGGAAACAUUCAUUACCUGCCUCCCUUGGUGACUUCUCUUUAGGGGUUUCAGCAAACCCUGCCACCUGCACCCAGGCAAGACCCAAUUCUGAGCUCUCUAACUUUUACUGACCUGGCAGGAGGGAAGCCUCAUCAUGCUGGGGCUUAAGGCCAAGCAGCAUGCUCCAGCUCUAGGGGAAGGUGUACUGAAGACAGCAGGAGUCUAUAAAGCAAAUCUGAAACGCUUUCUAAGUAAAAGCAAAAGUGCUUUCCUUGAGGAUCACAGAGAUAUGAUAAGUUACUGAGACAGGUUGGCAAAUAUUUUUAUAUUUCCAUUUAUAUCCACUGCAUAAAUGCUUGAAUUUCCCAAAUACUGAUUCAAAGUAGUAACAUAUGAUCAGAUAUGGAGAACCAAUGAUCUGUCUAUUGCUAAUAUAAGGCUACUAUUUGGAGAUCAAACAAUGAUUAUUGGGGAAAGACAAUACAAGCUUCCAAAUCCUAAAAUCUUUUUAAUCUUCUGAUACUUAAAUUUUUUCGAGAGUGGCCACUGGUCCUUCUUUUAGGGUACUUUUGUUGGAUAUGAUUGGUGGUUGUAAUUAAUGGUAUGCCAAAUUCUCCAGUCUUUGCAGAGAUAGGUAAAGCACCAAAAUUGUCCUAGCCAUUUCUUGGCCAUCAGUUUGAGAGAAAAAUGCUUUUUUUUUUUUUUUUUUAACACCUCAAACUCCCCUCAGCCCCAAUCAUAAAGGUAGAGGAGAGUGAAC